GAAAGACAACCAUUUAAGUUUGUGGACCAAAUCCAACAAAACCAAACAUUGUUGAAUCUGGACCGGUUCAUGCUGGCCUGUUACUAGGGCUCAAUAGGUACUAUAUAAUGGUGUAGAUGAAAAAUUCUUUACCAGUAAAUGCGGCCUCUGCAUAUCCGGCCGGGAAAAGGAGCCAGCAAGUUUCCCUUCAUCGUUUAACCAUGCGAGCCAAGUGGAAGAAGAAGCGCAUGAGAAGACUGAAGCGGAAGCGCCGAAAGAUGAGACAGAGAUCCAAGUAGACAGAUCCAUCUCCCCUGUUGUUGUACGAGGUUUCUUAAUGUCUUAGUUGAUAUUGGUGUGCUUUUAGGGUCCGGUUUCGUUUCAGUUUUAAGCUCUGCUUUUGAUCCGAUUGUCUUUGAGGUCGGUGCUUAUCCGACUGUCGAGGUUUCAUUGUUGAGAACAGUGAAUAGGUUUUAUCAAAAGGGUACUCUUUACUUGUGCCUUCGGUGAUUUGUUGUAUUUAGUGAAUGGAA